GGCAGCGUGGCCGAGUGGUCUAAGGCGCUGGUUUUAAGCACCAUUCUCUUCUGAGGCGUGGGUUCGAAUCCCACCGCUGCCA
rnacentral:tRNA from 1 species